UAGCAAUGUAUUGGGAUGUUCCUGAAAGUAUGUCCAGCAAACAAACUGAUCAUCGACAUGUCUGUGUCGUAUGUGGGCAUUCCAUUGCAAGGAUAAGGUGACGCAGGGGUUUAAUUGAAGGCGCCAACGAACAGGAGCAAAGACUAGCUCAUAUAGUAUCUGAUUAGAUUCAGCCACGAGAGCUUACUUCCAAUGAUGAAGAUCGUGUUCCAUGCUGGCUGAGAGCCUUAACAAGAGUCAGAACUAUUAGACCACAACCUGACAUACCACCUAAUAGUGUUCACUAUCAGGAUCAGGAUGUGUUAUGUAAGCAGGCACAAAUCCCACUUUAACAUUGCUGUUUGUAGAACAGAUGAGGCCAGAAGAUGUUGAUCGGCUGUCAGAGCUUCAAUAGAUAUCAGCAAUUAAUGAAGUGUGUGCUGUAUGACACCGCCUG